ensembl:lncRNA
CUCUGUACCUUGUACCCCCUGUAUAUAGCCCCCACAUUGACUCUGUACCAGUACCCCCUGUAUAUAGCCUCCACAUUGACUCUGUACCAGUACCCCCUGUAUAUAGCCUGCACAUUGACUCUGUACCAGUACCCCCUGUAUAUAGCCUCCACAUUGACUCUGAACCAGUACCCCCUGUAUAUAGCCUCCACAUUGACUCUGUACCAGUACCCCCUGUAUAUAGCCCCCACAUUGACUCUGUACCGGUACCCCCUGUAUAUAGCCUCCACAUUGACUCUGUACCAGUACCCCCUGUAUAUAGCCCCCACAUUGACUCUGUACCAGUACCCCCUGUAUAUAGCCUCCACAUUGACUCUGUACCGGUACCCCCUGUAUAUAGCCUCCACAUUGACUCUGAACCAGUACCCCCUGUAUAUAGCCUCCACAUUGACUCUGUACCAGUACCCCCUGUAUAAAGCCUCCACAUUGACUCUGUACCGGUACCCCCUGUAUAUAGCCUCCACAUUGACUCUGUACCGGUACCCCCUGUAUAUAGCCUCCACAUUGACUCUGAACCGGUACCCCCUGUAUAUAGCCUCCACAUUGACUCUGAACCAGUACCCCCUGUAUAUAGCCUCCACAUUGACUCUGAACCAGUACCCCCUGUAUAUAGCCCCCACAUUGACUCUGAACCGGUACCCCCUGUAUAUAGCCUCCACAUUGACUCUGUACCAGUACCCCCUGUAUAAAGCCUCCACAUUGACUCUGUACCGGUACCCCCUGUAUAUAGCCUCCACAUUGACUCUGUACCGGUACCCCCUGUAUAUAGCCUCCACAUUGACUCUGAACCGGUACCCCCUGUAUAUAGCCUCCACAUUGACUCUGAACCAGUACCCCCUGUAUAUAGCCUCCACAUUGACUCUGAACCGGUACCCCCUGUAUAUAGCCCCCACAUUGACUCUGUACCGGUACCCCCUGUAUAUAGCCUCCACAUUGACUCUGUACCAGUACCCCCUGUAUAAAGCCUCCACAUUGACUCUGUACCGGUACCCCCUGUAUAUAGCCUCCACAUUGACUCUGUACCGGUACCCCCUGUAUAUAGCCUCCACAUUGACUCUGAACCGGUACCCCCUGUAUAUAGCCUCCACAUUGACUCUGAACCAGUACCCCCUGUAUAUAGCCUCCACAUUGACUCUGUACCAGUACCCCCUGUAUAUAGCCCCCACAUUGACUCUGUACCGGUACCCCCUGUAUAUAGCCCCCACAUUGACUCUGUACCAGUACCCCCUGUAUAUAGCCCCCACAUUGACUCUGAACCGGUACCCCCUGUAUAUAGCCUCCACAUUGACUCUGAACCGGUACCCCCUGUAUAUAGCCUCCACAUUGACUCUGUACCGGUACCCCCUGUAUAUAGCCUCCACAUUGACUCUGUACCUUGUACCCCCUGUAUAUAGCCUCCACAUUGACUCUGAACCGGUACCCCCUGUAUAUAGCCUCCACAUUGACUCUGAACCGGUACCUCCUGUAUAUAGCCCCCACAUUGACUCUGUACCGGUACCCCCUGUAUAUAGCCUCCACAUUGACUCUGAACCGGUACCCCCUGUAUAUAGCCUCCACAUUGACUCUGUACCAGUACCCCCUGUAUAUAGCCCCCACAUUGACUCUGUACCAGUUCCCCCUGUAUAUAGCCUCCACAUUGACUCUGUACCGGUACCCCCUGUAUAUAGCCUCCACAUUGACUCUGAACCAGUACCCCCUGUAUAUAGCCUCCACAUUGACUCUGUACCAGUACCCCCUGUAUAA